rnacentral:rRNA from 1 species
CACGUAGGGCGCAAGCGUUGUCCGGAAUUAUUGGGCGUAAAGAGCUCGUAGGUGGUUUGUUACGUCUGCUGUGAAAUCCUAGGGCUUAACCCUGGGCUUGCAGUGGAUACGGGCAGACUAGAGGUAGGUAGGGGAGAAUGGAAUUCCUGGUGUAGCGGUGAAAUGCGCAGAUAUCAGGAGGAACACCGAUGGCGAAGGCAGGUCUCUGGGCUGACACUGACGCUCAUGCACGAAAGCGUGGGGAGCAAACAGG